UAGGGAAUAUUGGGCAAUGGAAGAGAUUCUGACCCAGCCAUGCCGCGUGCAGGAUGAAGGCUUUCUGAGUCGUAAACUGCUUUUGCCAGGGAAGAAAAAAGGGGAUGCGUCCUCUACUGACGGUACCUGGUGAAUAAGCACCGGCUAACUCCGUGCCAGCAGCCGCGGUAAUACGGAGGGUGCAAGCGUUGUCCGGAUUUAUUGGGUUUAAAGGGUGCGUAGGCGGCCGAUUAAGUCUGGGGUGAAAGCCCGUUGCUCAACAACGGAACUGCCCUGGAAACUGGUUGGCUUGAGUACAGACGAGGGCGGCGGAAUGGAUGCUGUAGCGGUGAAAUGCAUAGAUAGCAUCCAGAACCCCGAUUGCGAAGGCAGCUGCCUAGACUGUAACUGACGCUGAGGCACGAAAGCGUGGGGAGCGAACAGG
rnacentral:rRNA from 1 species